GACGAACGCUGGCGGCGCGCUUCAAACAUGCAAGUCGAACGUGAAGCCCGGAGCUUGCUCUGGGUGGAAAGUGGCGAACGGGUGAGGAACACGUGAGGAACCUGCCCCGAAGACCGGGAUAACUCCGGGAAACCGGAGCUAAUACCGGAUGCCCUCACCGGACCGCAUGAUCCGGUGAGGAAAUGGAUUCCGCUUCGGGAUGGUCUCGCGCACUAUCAGCUUGUUGGUGAGGUAAUGGCUCACCAAGGCUA
rnacentral:rRNA from 1 species